rnacentral:tRNA from 1 species
CCUGAUGGCUCAGUGGGUAAAGAAUCUGCAUGCAAUGCAGGAGACCUGGGUUCAAUCCCUAGGUCAGGA